ACACAGCUGACUCAUAGUUACCAUUUUUGUCUCUUUUUUUGGCGGACUAAAACUUAAAGAGACCCAGCGUGCAAGUCUGUGUCAAUAAUGUUGUUUGCGUGCUCUCCUUACUGGAAAAGCCAGAUGGAAAUUGAGUCCCUGUCCUCAGUUAGAUCAGGCUUGCUUUUUCCAAAAUGGACCUGCAAUGAAGUGUUUAUGGAUUUGUGGUUUGCAAGCUUACGGUCUCAAAGGAUAAUGCCAGCCUCUGAGCGCGCACACACACGCUCUCACUGUAACACACUUCCUGCCACUUAACACAAGAUGGAGCUAUUUGUCUCAUUUCAUGGACGCUUCACAGGAAACACUUCAGAUAAUUUUGUGCCUUUGAAAUACACCGAUGAACGACAACACAGCGUAAUUUGGAUCAUCAGUAGCAGCGAGAUAAGAACAACCAAAGUAAAGACAACUCGUCACAUCUUUUGCCCACUCAUGAAAGGAGGAAAUGCUUAUUAAAGGAAGACUGGGAAAUGUUUAGCCUCCUUAAAAUGAGCAUAAUUAGACGUGAAGACUUUCUUGGAGAACUUCUGAAACCUAACAGACUGUAAGUGAACCGACUGUAACAAGACCUUUUAUCAUCUACAAUGCCAUUUCACCAAGGAAAAGUGCACACAACUCACAGUACACCUCUUUAUCGAGGGAAAUUCCAAUUCAGCAUUAUCUUUUGCCUUGGGCCUCUUCUGGUAAUCACUACAAUCAAUGAACAAAACUUUUUUGCUCAUAUGAGUCAUUACAUCAUAAGACAGAAAGCAUUAUGUGAUUAAUCAAUGUAAAAUUACUGUAAUGAUUUUGCCUUUUACUAAAUUAUGUCUUUCUCAGGUAUUUAACUUAUGAUCAGAAGAUGUUGUUCAGCCGUGGAUAAUUGUCAUUACUAAAUUAUCUUAAUGCUUUACGAUUAAAUAGAUCAUAGAGAAAGGGGUUCCCCAGCUGACACUAGGACACAAUUAAAAUCAGCAUGUGUUAAAUUCUUGACCGCAGAUCUCUUGGCAAGGAUCCACACCAGAUGGAAGCAGGAUUUAGUUUUUCUGAACGUUGCGACAUCUUACUGGUAACCAUUCGAGUAGGAAUGUGUCCGUUGUAAUGUUUUUAACUUGUCAUGAACUAGCAAUAAAAACUAAGCUGUGAUGGUGCCUAAUUGAAGACAGAGAUCAUUAUCAAUUCAUUCGGAGUCAGCGGGGGCCAUUCACCUUUGUUCAAGACUGAAGUUUUAAACCAUACCGACUCCCUCCUUGUGACUUCACUGUGACUAAAACCUCCCUGCCACAAUGAAGUAACUUUUUGUGGUUCGCUUUAUUGAUACCACUGUGCACACACUCUUCAUUUAUGUCUUGAAAUGAAGAAUUACAAAGGAGCAUAUGGAUUUCAAACAUUACAAAAGCUGCGGGAAUGUUUCAGUUUUAAUGGGCUUGUGGCUCUUUUCUUAGCAUGUAAGAUGUGGUUGUAUUUUGCAUUUGUCAUGGGUUUACUAUAAAUUCAGUGUCCAUAAUUGUGUUUCCAGGUAACAUAAACACCAAGAAAGAAGUCUUGUAGGAAAUAAAAAUAGACCGUCAUUUAAAAAGAAA